GCAGGAAAUCUGGGGUAUGGGUGAUAGCUCAUCAGAGACACAACUCUUUAUGUUUGUCUCUGCAGUCUCCAGACCUGACACCCAAACCAGGACUGAAAGAAAAAGAACUUUAGCUCCUCGGUUGAUCUUUCUCAAGCCCUGAACAACCCUCUGUCCUUCACUCCAGUCUGUGCAAGGGUGAGGAUGAGGCCUGACAGUACAUUAUCUGAGCCUAGUGACUGUUCCCCCUUCGAGUUCUGGUUCGUGGCGCUGGUAGAAUUGGACCUUGGCACUGGGCAGCUAUUCUACAUACACGUACAGCUGGGAAUUCAUUGAAACUUGUUAUGAUCAGACAUGAAGAAAGAAGAAUAAAUUAUAAUUCAGAUUCUUAAUGCAUCUUAUCAAGGACAAGGUAGUGCAUAGUCGAAGCAAGCAGAACAGGUUGGAGAUGGUCGAGGACACCAGCAUCUCGUGAGCCCUCAUGAGAGCAGCUGCAGUGGGGUCUGUGGCAUCAAUGAUGCUGCAGGUAUUGAGAAUGGUAGUAUGUUCCUGCUUUAAGCUCCUUCUCAACUCCCAGCACACAAUAGUCUUGAUAUCUGGCAUGGAGUGUAAGCUGUUGAUGUUAUGACCUUGACUCUCUUGUUUGUCACCCAAUCUCAUUAAACUCACUUGUCCUGAAGGUGUAAGGUGUUAGUCUGAAACCAUUAUUGACAGACAUUGCAAAUAAAGUGCAUU